rnacentral:rRNA from 1 species
CAGCCGCCGCGGUAAUACGGAGGGUGCAAGCGUUAAUCGGAUUUACUGGGCGUAAAGCGUGCGUAGGCGGCUUUUUAAGUAGGAUGUGAAAUCCCUGAGCUUAACUUAGGAAUUGCAUUCGAUACUGGGAAGCUAGAGUAUGGGAGAGGAUGGUAGAAUUCCAGGUGUAGCGGUGAAAUGCGUAGAGAUCUGGAGGAAUACCGGUGGCGAAGGCGGCCCCCUGGACAAAGACUGACGCUCAGGUGCGAAAGCGUGGGGAGCAAACAGGAUUAGAUACCCCUGUAGUCCCUGUCUCUUAUAC